GGGCGGGCGUCGAGUGUGUUGUUUAUCAGCUGUGAUCUGUGCGUGUGAAACUUUUUCGUUGUGCUGAAACGGAUUCAAAAAUCUGUUUGCUCUACAAAGUCGAUGAGUGCAUCUAAUCAGUUCUGCAGCGCCAUGGUGAACGUUGGGAGGUGUCGGGCACGGAAGACAGAGCGGGAAAAGGUUCACGACAACUAUGCGGUGAGGAGGAUAUCAACUGAUUGUGCAUUUACAUUUAGCGGGUGAGCCCACACUGUACCUCGUAGGAGAACCUGGCCAUGGGUAUCGGAGAAUGCAUAUCGUAUGCCGGGAUCGUGCGCGGCCUUGAACACUGACUCUGCUCGAUCACGGGUUCCAAAUUGGUCAUUACGUUACCGGCGGCUUGCCAGCAAUCAGCAUUGGGUGUUCUUUUUCCGUUCAGUUCUUCCUACCGUCCUACUGUGUAUAAAGUGCCUUCCAUUAACAUCUCCCGACAACAAGUUGGAGUUGCUUCUAGCACGGCUGAUGAUGGUGCUGUUGCUAUAGAGGAAUGUUGUGUUGCCUGGUUGCACUGGACAAGAUGAUUCACGCAGUGUAGUCGAUCUCCUGUUGGUGUCGAUUGUAUACCGUUUCAGAGGUAUGAAGAGGAGUGAGGAGCUUCCUUACUACAAAGUUCUUUAUAUAAGGUGAAAAAGUGUACAAGAGCCAAUCAUUUGGUGUUUGUACUCGAUUCCCUUCGAGCCGGAGGCCCAUCCCGGCCGCUCAGUGCGAUAGUGUUAGGUGCUAGAAAUACAAGAUGUAAAUAUAAAAUGGUUACUUUACAUGUUAAUAUAGAAGAGGUGAUUAUAUAGGUUAUAGAAUUACGGCUUUUACUUACCAAUAAAAACAUGAACGAGCGAAAUGCAUCACGUACAUAUUGCGCAACUGAACCAGGCAAAGAAAUGCUCCAGUGUCGUCCCCAUUUUUGUCCGGAACAUGGUCGUCGUGAAGGUUAAUGUAGUAACGGUAUUUGAAGGCAUAUCCUGAGCCGAUCCCUCCGCAUAUCCUGAGCCGAGCCGAA